ensembl:lncRNA
CUUGGUAAUGAGACUUUCUGUGUUCAAUCUACAAUUCAGACUGUCCAGACUCAUUCUCGUCUCACUGAUGUUCACUGAUGUUUGUCUGCAAUCAUCUAACAAUGUUUUCAGCUCUUUCAGUCCACUGUCCAAGAAGCCACUGUCCACUGUAACAUGAUCCCAUCUAUCUAAAAGUUUAUACUUCCCCCUGCCAGAGUAGAAAUCUACAGUGUGCUUUGUGUAGUACCAUCACUGAAGAGGUGCCCGGAUUCCAUUCAGUUCACUUUUAUUCAUAUAGCACCAAUUCAUUUACCAAGAUCGGCUGAAUCAGCACCCACAGCAUCACCUUAGCAACCACAUUCCUCCACCUAUCAGCUGUGAGUUCACAUAUUUGACAAACAAAUACCACAAAAACAAAGUGACAGCUGACUCUGAGCCCUCACAGUCAGCUGAUCUUUCUGUCGAAUAACUUAAUGAAACCCUGAAAUACAAUAAAUGUUUUCAGGUCCUUGAAGUACACACGGGUGGAGGCUGGAAACCCACUCCACCUGUCACAGUCUGAAGACAGAAUGUGGUUUCUGUUCAGUGUGUGAGGAUCAGUAUGAUGUAUAAUAAUGUGAGUAAACUUCAGCAGGUUCAUGUCUGUGAUGUAGAGAACAGGAACAAGCAGAGGUGCCCUGGAUGUUUGAUCUGUGCUCUGAUAAUUCAGCGUAUCACCAUGUGGGACAGGAGACUGUCCAGUACAAGUUACAGCCUGUCAGAGUGUCGCUCACAUUUACUGACAAACAACAGAUGCAUCUGUUACUGAACUAAAUGAUGAAACCAGCCAACAGUAAAUCAGGAUCCCUGACACAGUCGUCUGAUCAUCAGGAUGGAGAAAUUAUCAACUUGAAGCAACAAACCCUCGACGCCCCUG